UUUUCACUCACUGUUUUUGUUUGCCUAAUUGGAACGGGGAUUUCUUGAAGCAGGAGUGUCUAGUGUUUAUCAUUCAUGCACACCCAGAAGACUGAGAACAACAUGACUGACUGCCAGAGGAGGCAAGCCAAGACCUCCAGGCAUUAGAGAGCAGCUGUGAUGGAGCCAGAAGUGAGGAGGCAGCCACCAAGCUCUGCACCAGCCACUACACCAACAAAUAUGUCCCCGGCAGUCUGCAUGUCCUCCCCGCGGUUGAGU